AGUCAAUAGCGGUUAUAUUCCAGCUUUGUUGGGGAGGGUAGGGCGGAUUCAAAAUCCACUGGAGGUCAUGUGAUUUAAAUCUUCCUAUAAUACGCCUGUUGAACAUUUAUCACUCUAAUCGGCACGGAAAAUAUUCCAAUAUUUUCGUGGUUUUUAUUGAAAAAAUCGUCCGUAAUCCCCCCCGUUGAACAUUUCUGAACACACUCCCGUUCUAAUCCUCUCCUAUUUCCAAUGCAGUUUACGCAUCAUAUAGGUAUUUCAU